ACCCAGGAAGGAAGCAUUUUGUUCCUGUUGGACAGACAGCCUGGCGGGCCAUAUGGCCACGCCGUUGUCAAGCUCUAAGCUGAUAGUCCUGAUUACUGCCUACAAUCAUCCUGUGGCCUUGAGAAAUCAAGAAAUCAGUCUAAGGAUACAGUUGAGCAGUAGAAUGGAGACAAGGCCACUGACAUCACCGAGACACUGAAACAAGCAAUUCUGUCUUUGGUCCAAGGUGAGCCACUAAAUUUCCUCUGCUCUUAAACCAGUUUGACUUGUUUUUUUCUGCUACUUGCACUGAUAAUCAUUUUACAUUACAUCGCUAGAUUCAAAUCCUAUUCUUUCUGACUCUAAUGUAGAGGCCCACACCA
rnacentral:lncRNA from 1 species